rnacentral:misc_RNA from 1 species
GAUGAAGAACGUAGUGAAAUGCGAUACGUAAUGUGAAUUGCAGAAUUCAGUGAAUCAUCGAAUCUUUGAACGCAUCUUGCGCUCCUUGGUAUUCUGAGGAGCAUGCCUGUUUGAGUGUCAUUAAAUUCUCAACUACACUGACUUUGAAUUGGUGUGGCUUGGAUUUGGGGGGAAAAUUGUUGUGGGCUUUUUGUAUAGUCUGCUCCCCUGAAAUUGAUUAGCGGUACCUUUGUGGAACUGUCUACAGGUGUGAUAAUUAUCUACAUCUUAGACAUCUGCUGGAAUGCUGCUUUCUAAACCUUACUUGUAUUGACAAUCUUGACCUCAAAUCAGGUAGGACUACCCGCUGAACUUAAGCAUAUCAAUAAGCGGAGGA